rnacentral:tRNA from 1 species
CGCGGGAUGGAGCAGUUCGGUAGCUCGCAGGGCUCAUAACCCUGAGGUCGGAGGUUCAAAUCCUUCUCCCGCAACCA